UUCCGGUUGAUCCUGCCGGACCCCACUGCUAUCGAGAUGGGACUAAGGUAUGCUAGUCGAACGACCAGAACUAUGUCUGGGAGUGGCACACUGCUCAGUAACACGUAGCUAACCUACCCUUAGGACGUGGAUACCCCCGAGAAAUUGGGGUUAAUCCGCGAUAGAUGUAAUGUCCUGGAAUGGUAUUACGUCUAAAGGUAUUUCAUACAUGUUUGAAAUAUGCCUAAGGAUGGGGCUGCGGCCGAUCAGGCUGUUGGUGAGGUAAUGGCUCACCAAACCUUUGACCGGUACGGGCCAUGAGAGUGGUAGCCCGGAGAUGGACACUGAGACAAGGGUCCAGGCCCUAAGGGGCGCAGCAACCGCGAAACCUCCACAAUGCACUCACGUGCGAUGGGGCUAUCUCGAGUGCCACCUGAUGAAGGUGGCUUUUCCUUGGUCUUCAAAGCCUUGGGAAUAAGAGGGGGGCAAGACUGGUGUCAGCCGCCGCGGUAACACCAGUCCCUCGAGUGGUGGGGAUGAUUAUUUGGCCUAAAGCGUCCGUAGCCGGCCGUGAAAGUCUUCCGUUAAAUCCAGCGUCUCAAGCGUUGGACCGCGGGAGAUACUACAUGGCUAGAGAGUGGGAGAGGUCAGCGGUAUUCUGGGGGUAGGGGCGAAAUCCUUUGAUCCCCGGAGGACCACCCAGUGGCGAAAGGCUGCUGACUAGAACACGUCUGACGGUCAGGGGACGAAAGCUGGGGUAGCGAACCGGAUUA
rnacentral:rRNA from 1 species